rnacentral:rRNA from 1 species
UACGUAGGGGGCAAGCGUUGUCCGGAUUUAUUGGGCGUAAAGAGCGUGUAGGCGGCCAUACAGGUCCGUUGUGAAAACUCGAGGCUUAACCUCGAGACGUCGAUGGAAACCGUAUGGCUAGAGUCCGGAAGAGGAGAGUGGAAUCCUGGUGUAGCAGUGAAAUGCGUAGAUAUCAGGAGGAAUACCGAUGGCGAAGGCAGGUCUCUGGGCUGACACUGACGCUCAUGCACGAAAGCGUGGGGAGCAAACAGG